CUCUGCCAUCUCCAACUGGCUUGAGUGAGCUUUGUGGAGAUUUUUUACUUUUUUGUUUUGUCUGCUGUAGACCAAAUGGACUACAAAUUCGAGAUGCCCAAACCGAGAAAAUCCAUUCGGGACCGAAGACGCUCUCCUUCCGGGUUACACUAUUUCGCAAUUUGAUUGCUGGUCUAAGGAAUUGUGGGUGAAUGCUCUACAGUAUUGUGUUUUUUUUAAUUGAUAAACCUAGAAAUUUGAACUCCAGACAGUGUAAAUUGUUGCUCUACUACUUGAAAGUUGAAAUCUGAUAGGCACACCACAUAAUUGAAAUUCUUACUCACAACCGAUAUGAAUAAAGAGUAUGUGCUAGUUGAUGGAUUCUUUUUUCCUUUUCUGAUUUUUCUGUUUGUUACUUUGGAGUUUGGAGAUCAUCGUUUAGGAAAAAUAAAAUUACUUGAGUAGAAAAUUAAUUUGGACUUUGAAAAUCGUUGCUCAGAAAAAUGACGGUGGGAGAAUGUUUUUAGAAGGUUUCACACUACCUGUUUUGCUACAUACAUGGACAAGUUGUGCCUGUAUGUGCACGCCGCUGACAUGGCAAAAUGCCACAUCAGCCCUCAUAUUACAAAAUGAUUAUCUACUAUCUUUAUCGCACUGUUCUCCACUUUUUCUUUUCUUCCUCAAGACAAAAUUAAAUUGGAUUAUGAAGUGGAAAUAUGUAAAUAAAUCUCAUCCCUCUCUCAACAAUAUUAAGUUCUUGGUCCGCUAAGUUUCUGUUAAAUGGUGGAAAAAAUACAAUUAUGAUCAUGUUGUUAAAAUGUUUUUAAAAAUUACCAAGACUCCUGAGCUACUAGUCUAAAGGAGUAGAUUUCAGGCUCAAUUAGCCUCCAUUACCAACAAAAAAGACUGAAAAAAUUAGUUGAGACAAUGUCACAAAUUUCAGAUAGUCACAAUGAAGAAAAUUGCCAAGACAGAUUAUCUUCAUUACAACAACCAACAGUCCAACAGACCUCUAAUUCCCAACAUGCCUCUUCUUCUCAACAUGUCUCUCAUUCCCAACAGGCUUCUCCUUCGCAGGACAAUAAGUCUUUAUUAUCCUUCACAUUUUAUCGAUUCUUAGGAUCCAUUUUAUCUGAAAUUAGCACAUUACGACUCUCAGAUUAUGUGAUUCCAAAAAAUUAUUAUCUCAAUUAUAUAAAACAAACAACUUUGUCUAUUAUUAGAUUACUUUCCAGAAGUCAAGAUACUCAUCAAGACCAUGUCAGAAUUAUCAAGUCAAGGAAAAAGACAAGCAAACCUGCCUAGCCGCCUAUUUGCUAUUCAAGAAUUAUUUGAGUUACUGUUCAUCUGUUAACAAAAAUAUCACAAAUAUUAUUGUAAAAUACUGUUUGUUACUGUUCUGAUGUCUAUAAAUAGGUAUUCAGAAUUCUCUAUCUGAAGCCAUUCCCUAUCUCGUCCUUCUUACUCUUAAAAUAUUCUCCCUCUUGUAAAUCUUCUGUCUUUCAUGUCUUCUACUCCCAACUCUUCUGAGAAUUAAUCUCCUUAUAAGUAUUAUAUUUUCAAUAAAGUCUAUUUUGUCAUAUUCUGUCUUUUUUUUUUUUUUUUUUGCAAAGAGCAGGUUCUACCGCCUUUCAUUACAUUUAUUUUACUUCUUUAUAUUAUCAGGCUGGUUAUACCGCCUCUAUUAUAUAAUUAUUCUAUUUAUAUUUCCAUUAUAAAUCCUGGUAUACGUCAUUGGUAUCAGAGCCAUUGGCUAUUAUAUAUUGAUAUUAUAUUUUAUUACUCAUUUUAUUGCUAUUUUAUAGUUUGAUUGCUAUUCUGUGAUUUAUAUUUCAUAAUGGAAUACUAUGCUCAUAAUGUUGGUUUUACUAAUAUUCAUGAAUUAAGAUAGGAAGAAUAUAAUUUGAAACUUGAAUUAAGUAACUUAAUGGAAAGAAUCAAACAUCUGAAGGAAAAACAAUUAUUAAUGAUAUCAAAUUAUUGUUCAAUGAUGGAAAGAUAUCAUUUUUUUUUUUUUUUGAUAAGUAAACCAAAGUAUAUUAAUUAAAAGAAUAGGCAAAAGCCAUGUUCAGUACAAUGAAUGCCCUACUACGUAGGAUCAAUAGAUACAAGAAAAUCAUGAAAAUUUUGGCCAUUAAAAUUAAUGGCAAUGGCCCAAGUACAAAGAGUUCUAAAAAAGAAAGCUUUUAGUUCCUCCAUAGAUCUCUCUUUAUCCUCAAAAGUCUGUUCAUUACGCUCUUGCCACACACACCACAUGAUGCAAAUAGGGAUCAUUUUUCAUAUAGCUUUGAUCUGUUGAAUGCCUUUCAAAUCUGUCAAACUAGCCAAAACUGCCACCACUGUCUCAGGCAUAACCCAGCCCAACUCUAGUCUACUAAAUAUCUCAUUUCGUAACCCUCGAGCUACCUCACAGUGUACUAAAAGAUGGUCUACAGAUUCACUCCUAUUUCUACACAUGCAACACCAAUCUGCGAUGAUCAUUGUUUAGGUAAAAUAAAAUUACUUAAGUAGAAAAUAAUUUGGAGUUUGAAAAUCGUUGCUGAGAAAAAUGACGGUGGGAGAAUGUUUUAAGAAGGUUUCACACUAUCAGUUUUGCUAUAUACAGUGACAAGUUGUGCCUGUAUGUGCACACCGCUGACAUGGCAAAAUGCCACAUCAGCCCUUAUAUAUUAAAAAAAAAAAAAAACCGAACGGAGGAAGAAGGAGUUUAACACAAUUGGUUUUUUUGUUUUCUCAUCCUUAUUUCGAGUUGCUACUUUCACACAAACAUGACAUAUAUCUGAUUGUUACACCAUGAAAGAGCUGUGCCAUGUUGCAGAGGUAUGCCCCACGAAAUUAAUCUUAUUGUUUGGAUAUGCCACAUUGCCACUUAUGCCUGAUCAGGUGGAGUUUUAUGCAUGCUUUUGUGUCAUUAUGUCAUAUUCUCAAUUUUUUGCUCAUUUUUGGGUGGAUGUUGAAAACAUUGGACAGACAUGGUUGAGUGGAAUGGUGAAUUGGUAGUUGAUAUUAUUGGCUAAUAAUGUGGUUUGGGCCAAAGUAAGUUUGUACCUCGUGAAUUUAGUCGAGCAUGCAAGUCUUUUCCUUUUGUAAUUUCCUGGAAAUUAGUGAGCGAGCACUUGAUCUGAAAAGGAAUCCAUUCAUCAUGCAUUGUGUAUAUUAUCAUUUUUAAACUUAACAGUAUGAUUAGUGUUUACGUGCUCUUAGCAUGUGCCAAGUUUUUGUUCAGAUUGUUUAUUUGCUUCUUCUAAAGUCAUGUCGUUGGUUCUAUGUGGAAAAUUGUUUAUUUUGAUGCAUUUAUUGCAAACUCCGAAUUAAUAUUAAUGUUUUUAUUUAUCCGCAAAUGGAUCCAUUCAUGGUUCAUUUUUUCAACUGCCAAUUGGUAUUUACCCAUUCAGCUCAUAUAGGGUGCUUGUUAACUUCGUGGCUUGUAUUUUUGAGAGAAGAAAAGUCACCACUUUAUUUCAUUAAUAGUUUGUUCAGCAAUUCCAGCUAGUGAAGAAAUUGGGUUCAAUGAUGGUAAAUUGCUUACAUGCAAACUGCAAUAAGACCUAGCAAUUUGGCCCUAAAUAAUUUGAAUUCUCUUUCAUGUGACAAUGAGCUAUAUUGAAAUCCUUUAAACUUGCUUGAGGCACCUUCCUCAAAUUUGCUACACUCCUUGGAUUCAUGUGUAUUAUUUUCAAGAUUUGCUACCAAUUUUGUUGAUGUAUACUGCUUCUUUCGACUAGUUUAAAACAAGCCUGCAUGGUGUGAUGUUUAAUAUAUAAGACUUGAGUGUACCUUCCUUAAUGCCAAUUGGUUUUAGGAUGCCAUAUUGCUUCUUCCUUAAUCCCAAUUCUGUUAGAGACUUCACUGCUCGGCAAAUGUGCAUGUUAUAUUGCUUCUUGUGUUUUUUUUCCCUUACCCUUCCAUAGUAAUUUGGAAUCCCCCCAACAAUUACAUUUUGAUGGUAGCUCAAUAUGAAGAUCUAGUACUCAUUAUUGGCAACUCAAUUUUUUGCUGUAUCCAUAGUGUAACUUCUUUAUUACACACUUUAGCUCUCUCCAUACACUUUUCCCCUCCGUACACUAUUCUUCUCUGAUGGUGAUCCUGGGCUCCUGACUCUGCGAUUUUGCUCAUAUGGGAAGGAAUAUGGGUAUGUCAAAAGCUAUUGUUGUAGAAUUAAAGACUUUUGAGGUGUUAAGGGAUGUCCGUCGGGUGUUCCUUACCAAAAGAGGGUGUAAAUUUGUUAAAAUUAUGUGCUUGGAGUUGGCUAUGAGACGUUGGUUCACCAAAGCUUUGGAAGAUUGUUUGAAGGGUGGGAGAAAGGAGUUCUAUACAACCCAUCAGGAGGGUGAUAGGGGCUUCAUAGCGUAAAGGUGCUCAAACUUCUAAGGCGCGUUCAUGGCUCUAGUAGAGUACAGAAGGGGUGGUCGCCAAAAUUGCAUUUUUAUACUGGAGGACAAAGACGGUAGGGGAUGGAGGAAGCUGGCGGAGGUUUUGAGGGAGGCUGGAAGAGAAGGUUGCCUUGUUGGGUUAGCACCGCCAGCAACGACGGUAGCUUCUUCUGCACAGUCGUACGUGGAAUCUCUCCAACAACAGAGGGUCCCGGACUGUUUUCGUGAACUUGCUAAGCUGGGUGCAGUUUCUAACAUUUUGGUUCGAUUGAGAGGAAGUGCCAUCAUUUCUAUAGGGGCUCAGAGCCUUGAGGGUGGUGGCAGGGGAGCUGUCGAUCUAAAUAAGGAUAUGGUGCUUUGGGCAUUGAGUGAUUUACAAAGGCAUCGGAAUGAUGUGCAGUUGAAUAUAUCUUGUUGAAACGGUGCUUAGAGAAGGAAGAAGGGGUAUGGGUGGGCUUGGGUUUGGGAGAUGGGCUAAGUGAAGGUAACCUUAGGGGGCCUAGUUUUUUUCCACUCAACAGGGUGCUGGUGGGGGUGUGGGCUCGUAUGCUGGACCCAGCUCUAACAGGCUCCAGCAGGCAGGCCACACGGUUGGGGCCAAGCUCACAAACCAGUCUAGUUUUGGGAAUCUGGCAAAGCCCGAAUUAGGCCAAGGGAGGACCAUGGGCCUCAACCAGCAGGAGUAUAGUAUCCUCGCCAGUAAUAGCACCAUCGACGGUUCGACAAGCUGAGGAGCCUUCGAUGGAUCCUAAGGCGAGAUUGCUCCAUUUGUCUAGGGAAAAAAAUACAUAUUGUUAAGCAUACCAAUUAUUUUUAGUCGAAACACUAAUCUGAUUCAUGCAAUGGAUGUUAUUGGUGAGUUCAUUUCACAAAAGAUACAUACUUUCUUAAGAAGUAGUGGCACAUUAAUUGCACAAUAAUGUCUAAAGUACAUAACAAUUCAUUGUGCUAGGAUUGAAGAUCACUAAUGCUAAAUAAAGUCUCAGUUACAUAAUAACAAAGUCUCAACUUACAGAUGCUAGGUGUCUUAACACCAUUGGUUAUAAACAAUAUGGACAAUGUUACAAUUACAAAGUUUCCAUCACUUUGAUCGUAUCCAAUACAAUGACAUUAAUAUGGAUACUAGCCAAUAGAAAUGAAGUAUUGUGCGUAAAUGCUACAUGUCAGCUUCUUGCCUAUGAAACUGGCCUUACUCGUUGGGGAGUACAAACUCCCUCUUUCCGAUCUCUUCUUCUCUCUUUUGAAGUCCUUUAUCUUUUUGUAACAAUUUUGAUUUUCUUUUCACAAGAGCUUGUUCUUUGUAUUCACUACUAUCUCUCCACUUGAAAUAUGUGCAGUAUGGUAAUCUUUGAUUAUACACAAAUAAGCAUGUAUGUUUGAUGUCAAAAUUUUGAAUAAAAUACUAAUACGUAAGUGUUGUUAACUGCGUCUA